AGGCAGAGCUCACUCAGGCAGGACCUGGCCCAGCUCAGGGGCAAGAAACCAAUUGGGUGUUGUGCCUAAGAACGUGGACCCUGUGGCCAGACUGCUUGGAUCAGUGUCCUCCCUCCACCACUUUGUAGCCAUCUGACCUCAGGCAAGUUACUUCACCUCUCUAUGCCUUGGCUCCUCAUUUAUAAACUGGUGAUAUGAACAGAGCCUGUGUUCUAGGAUUGCUGUGACAAUUACAUAGAAAUGAGUCAACAUGUACAUAGCACACAGAACAAUGCCAGGCACACAGCAAGUGCUAUUUAUGUUCUUCUUUCUUCCUCCUCCUCCUCUUCCUCCUCCUCUUCUUACUUUAUGCCAUUCUGAUAAACACUAUUUUAUUUAUUUUAUAAUUUAGGAACUGAUUCUAAACUACAUUAAGUAAUUUGUUUAAGGUCGAGCAUCUAGUGAGUGUUGGGCACUGUGUUGGAGCUUCAGUCUGUCUGACUUCAAGGCCUGUGCUCCUUUCAAGGUGAGGUGUUUGACACAUCCCCUGCUUGCCAUCCUGGUGGCAUUCUCUCAACCACCAAAGCUUAUGAAAACAUGCCACUCAGGUUAGCUUCCACCGGACACUGACAGAGGAGCAAUUAUACCUCCGCC
rnacentral:lncRNA from 1 species